AUGAACGCUGGCGGCGUGCCUAAUACAUGCAAGUCGAACGAGGUGCUUUUGUAGCAAUACGAGAGUAUCCUAGUGGCGAACGGGUGAGUAACGCGUUGGUGACCUACCCCAAAGUGUGGGAUACCAGUCCGAAAGGACUGCUAAUACCGCAUGUGGUCAUUGGAUUUAGAAACCGGUGACUAAAGGAGCAAUUCGCUUUGGGAGGGACCUGCGUCCCAUCAGCUAGUUGGUGAGGUAACGGCUCACCAAGGCGACGACGGGUAGGGGACCUGGGAGGGUGACCCCCCACAAUGGAACUGAAACACGGUCCAUACACCUACGGGUGGCAGCAGUAGGGAAUAUUGCUCAAUGGGCGAAAGCCUGAAGCAGCAACGCCGCGUGUGUGAUGAAGGCCUUCGGGUCGUAAAGCACUUUUCUGGGAGAUGAGAAAGGACAGUAUCCCAGGAAUAAGUCUCGGCUAACUACGUGCCAGCAGCCGCGGUAAAACGUAGGAGGCAAGCGUUAUCCGGAUUCACUGGGCGUAAAGCGCGUGCAGGUGGCGUGGUAAGUUGGAUGUGAAAUCUCCCGGCUCAACUGGGAGAGGUCAUUCAAUACUACCGUGCUUGAGAGCAGAAGAGGAAGAUGGAAUUCCCGGUGUAGUGGUGAAAUGCGUAGAUAUCGGGAGGAACACCAGUGGCGAAGGCGAUCUUCUGGUCUGUUUCUGACACUCAGACGCGACAGCUAGGGUAGUAAACGGGAUUAGAGACCCCGGUAAUCCUAGCCGUAAACGAUGUGAACUUGGCGUUGGUGGGUUAAACUCCAUCAGUGCCGUAGCAAACGCGAUAAGUUCACCGCCUGGGGACUACGGCCGCAAGGUUAAAACUCAAAGGAAUUGACGGGGGGCCCGCACAAGCAGCGGAGCGUGUGGUUUAAUUCGAUGCUACACGAAGAACCUUACCCAGGCUUGACAUACAAGUGGUAGGGAUCCGAAAGGUGACCGACCCGCAAGGGAGCCUGAACAGGUGUUGCAUGGCUGUCGUCAGCUCGUGUCGUGAGAUGUUCGGUUAAGUCCGCUAACGAGCGCAACCCUCGCUGCGUGUUACAAGUGUCACGCAGGACCGCCGGUAUUAAGCCGGAGGAAGGUGGGGAUGACGUCAAGUCAGCAUGGCCUUUAUGCCUGGGGCUACACACACGCUACAAUGGGCAGUACAAUGGGUUGCUAAGCCGCGAGGUGGAGCCAAUCCCCCAAAACUGUCCUCAGUUCAGAUUGCAGGCUGCAACUCGCCUGCAUGAAGCCGGAGUUGCUAGUAAACGCGCGUCAGCUAUAGUGCGUUGAAUGCGUUCUCGGGCCUUGUACACACCGCCCGUCACGUCAUGGGAGCUGGUAACACCUGAAGCCGGUAGCCUAACCGCAAGGAGGGCGCCGUCGAAGGUGGGGCUGGUGACUGGGACG
rnacentral:rRNA from 1 species